ACGAGCUAAAGGUCAAACUAGACACUGGUGCACAUGUAAACAUUAUUCCUCUGAAUAAGUACCGAAGCUUGACAUCGGAGUGCGAGCUACAGCCCACCAAGCGCAGACUGACCUUUUUAAAGAAUAACUUUUAACAAGAAGCUAAGUUUCAAUUUAUCAUCAUCUGAUUGAGAACCUCGAGAAACAAUUGGAGAGGCAUACUUACUGUGAUAUGUGGUUGUCCCACCUAGCUAUCUCAAAGAAUGAAGCCUGUGCUGCUAAGGAUGUGUUGGAGAGGGAAAUGGCUCCUCCGUUAGAGGUGAUAGGAGAGGAGACGUAAUCCAUCAGGGAGUGCCAGCGUUUCUGUUCCGUCUCUCUCUCUCUGGGCCAGGGCUAGCAGAGCAUGACGGCUACCACAGAACAGUGGCAAACAUCUGACAGCCUGACUGACAUUAGGUUCUGUAAACCCAGCAGCCGAUACCAUCUCUGUCUGGGUGACCUCAUGAGGCUCAUGUCCAUCUACUGCUUCCUGUGUUCUCCCUGUAAAGCUACAGAGGGAGCUGAGGACUGACGAGAACAUCUGUCUGAAGGCUUGACCAGAAGCAGGCACUCUUUGAAGCUAUUGACUUAGCUAGCUGCUCUCUAUAAAAUGGUUCUUCAGCUAGCUAACUGUUAUGUCCUUUUUUUCUUGUUUAUUUUUGGUCUGUAUACUGCAAUUCAGCUUUUAGCAGCGAAUGUGUACAAGAUAGCCUAACCAAUCAUAAAUAAAUACUUGAUAUAAACUAACAGCCAUCCACAGGCUGCUAGCACAGCUACCGCUAGCCUUCACUUCUUUCUGUGUG